UGAUGUUCCCCUCCCUGUGUCCCAUGUGUUCUCGCUGUUCAACUCCCACUUAGGAGCGAGAACAUGCGGUGUUUGGUUUUCGCUUCCUGUGUCAGUUUGCUGAGAAUGAGGCCUUCCAGCUUCAUCCACGUUCCCGCAGAGGUCAUGAACUCAUCCUUUUUUAUGGCUGCGUAGUAAUUCCAUGCUGUAUACGUGCCACACUUUCUUUAUCCAGCCUAUCAUUCAUGGGCAUUCGAGUUGGUUCCAAGUCUUUGCUAUUGUAAAUAGUGCUGCAGUAAACAUACGUGUCCACGUGUCUUCCUAGUAGGAACUUCUUCCUCUUCAGCCCGCUGAGUAGCUGGCACUUUAAGGCAGGUGCCAACGCACCGGCAGCAAGCUUCCUUUUUUGCCCGGGAAAAACUGAGGUGCAGGUAGUAUAAGCCAUUGAUCACGGAACGCACAGGAGCAGAGCUCGAGUCCAAGCAUCGUGCUCCACCCGUCAUGCUGGAUGCA
rnacentral:lncRNA from 1 species